CAAUAGCGUAUAUUUAAGUUGUUGCAGUUAAAAAGCUCGUAGUCGGAUUUUGGCUGAGAACGAUCGGUCCGCCGUUAGGUGUGCACUGAUUGGUCUCAGCUUCCUGGUGAGGAGGUGUGCUUCACGGCCACUUAGUCACCGUGGUUACUUUGAAAAAAUUAGAGUGUUCAAAGCGGGCUUACGCUUGAAUAUAUUAGCAUGGAAUAACACCAUAGGACUCCUGUCCUAUUUCGUUGGUCUCGGGACGGGAGUAAUGAUUAAGAGGAACAGUUGGGGGCAUUCGUAUUUCAUUGUCAGAGGUGAAAUUCUUGGAUUUAUGAAAGACGAACUUCUGCGAAAGCAUUUGCCAAGGAUUUUUUCAUUGA
rnacentral:rRNA from 1 species